UACGGAGGGCGCAAGCGUUGUUCGGAUUUAUUGGGCGUAAAGGGCGCGUAGGCGGGCGAGUAAGUCUGGUGUAAAAUCUUCACCGCUCAACGGGAAGAAGCCACUGGAUACUGCUCGUCUUGAGGUCAUUAGAGGGAAACGGAACUCCUGGUGUAGCGGUGGAAUGCGUAGAUAUCAGGAAGAACACCGAUUGCGAAGGCGGUUUCCUGGGGUGAACCUGACGCUGAGGCGCGAAAGCUAGGGGAGCAAACGGGAUUAGAUACCCCGGUAGUCCUAGCCGUAAACGAUGAGCACUAGGUGUGGGAGGUAUCGACCCCUUCCGUGCCGACGCUAACGCAUUAAGUGCUCCGCCUGGGGAGUACGGUCGCAAGGCUGAA
rnacentral:rRNA from 1 species